AGCUCCAAUAGCGUAUAUUAAAGUUGUUGCGGUAAAAAAGCUCGUAGUUGGAUUUCUGUUGAGGACGAGCGGUCCAUACCACGUAUGCGCAUCUGUUUCGGCCUCGGCAUCCUUUCGAAAGACGUUUCUGCGCUUGAUUGCGUGGAGCGGAUUCCGGAACUUUUACUUUGAGGAAAUUAGAGUGUUCACGGCAGGCUAUCGCCAGAAUACAUUAGCAUGGAAUAAUACUAUAGGAUCUUGACCCUAUUUUGUUGGUUUCUAGGGCUGAGAUAAUGAUUAAUAGGGACAAUUGGGGGCAUUCGUAUCAACACGUCAGAGGUGGAAUUCUUGGAUUGUGUUGCGACGAACUACUGCGAAAGCAUUUGCCAAGGAUGUUUUCAUUGAUCAAGAACGAAAGU
rnacentral:rRNA from 1 species